UCUCCGUAGGUGAACCUGCGGAGGGAUCAUUACAGAGUUCUCGCCCUCGCGGGUAGAUCUCCCACCCACUGUUAUCGUUACUGUGUUUCUUUGGCGGGCCGCCGGGCCCCGCUCGGCCGCCGGCUCCGGCUGGCGCGCGCCCGCCAGAGGCCCAGCAAACUCUGAAUGUUAGUGUCGUCUGAGUACUAUAUAAUAGUUAAAACUUUCAACAACGGAUCUCUUGGUUCUG
rnacentral:misc_RNA from 1 species